rnacentral:rRNA from 1 species
UACGGGGGGGGCAAGCGUUGUUCGGAAUUACUGGGCGUAAAGGGUGCGUAGGCGGCUUUCUAAGUUGGAUGUGAAAACUCUGGGCUCAACCCAGAGCCUGCAUCCAAAACUGGGAGGCUAGGGUCCUGGAGGGGAGAGCGGAAUUCCUGGUGUAGCGGUGAAAUGCGUAGAUAUCAGGAGGAACACCGGUGGCGAAAGCGGCUCACUGGACCGUUUCUGACGCUGAGGUGCGAAAGCCAGGGGAGCAAACGGG